rnacentral:rRNA from 1 species
AUUGAACGCUGGCGGCAGGCCUAACACAUGCAAGUCGAGCGGAUGAAGGGAGCUUGCUCCUGGAUUCAGCGGCGGACGGGUGAGUAAUGCCUAGGAAUCUGCCUGGUAGUGGGGGAUAACGUCCGGAAACGGGCGCUAAUACCGCAUACGUCCUGAGGGAGAAAGUGGGGGAUCUUCGGACCUCACGCUAUCAGAUGAGCCUAGGUCGGAUUAGCUAGUUGGUGGGGUAAAGGCCUACCAAGGCGACGAUCCGUAACUGGUCUGAGAGGAUGAUCAGUCACACUGGGACUGAGACACGGUCCAGACCCCUACGGGAGGCAGCAGUGGGGAAUAUUGGACAAUGGGCGAAAGCCUGAUCCAGCCAUGCCGCGUGUGUGAAGAAGGUCUUCGGAUUGUAAAGCACUUUAAGUUGGGAGGAAGGGCAGUAAGUUAAUACCUUGCUGUUUUGACGUUACCAACAGAAUAAGCACCGGCUAACUUCGUG